rnacentral:rRNA from 1 species
AGCCAUGCAUGUUUCCGCAAUCAGGGACGAAUAGCUCAGUAAAACUGCGAUGAUUUAGUCUGGCUGUGUAGAUAACUACGUGAAAAUGUAGCUAAGGGAAGGCAGAAUAAGACGCAGGACUAUCAGUUAGUUGGUAGUGUAAUGGACUACCAAGACAGUGACGGUUGACGGGAAAUUAGGGUUUUGUACCGGAGAGGGAGCCUGAGAGAUUGCUCCCACGUCCAAGGACGGCAGCAGGCGCGAAAAUUGCCCACUCUUUGCAGGAGGCAGUUAUGAGACGUGAAGAUGAGUAUCUUGUAAAGAGGGAUAGGAGAAUUGGAGGGCAAGUUUGGUGCCAGCAGCCGCGGUAAUACCGACUCCAAGAGUGUGUAUGAGAGAUGCUGCAGUUAAAAAGUCCGUAGUCAUAGAAGGGCAAAGAGAGAUGCGAGGUCUCACAGUGCGAUGAUGGAGGAGCCGAUGGGGAACAUAGUAUACCAGGGCGAGAGA